UCUCAGCCAUGGUUGCAUACCUUCCAAGCUCCACCGCCUCUUCUUCCUCGUGGGCAGAUCCCUGAUUUUGUGUAGGACAGCACUUGAAAUGUAUUUGUGUGCUCAACAUUGGUUUCCUCUCUGGAACCUGGGAUCACUUCAGGGGUGGACACGUGGCCCAACCAUGACUGAUGAGACAUGCGGGGAAAUCUGCAGAGGCAACUUCUAGGAAAGGUUGGGCUCUUGCAGCCACCCUGUGACUAUGAGGACUAUGAAGGGCUGAAGAUUUACUCUACUUGAGAACGAACCAGGUUUUUGUAAGCUCCAGACAUUGGAUAAAGCAUUUUGAGGGAUAGGUGAAAACGAAAUCCUGCCCUUUACUCUUGAGAACUCACUCUGCUGUGGGAGGAGAGACAGGCAGCAUUCUGACCACAAUGCCAGAAGACAAUACGGAAUUACUCAGUACAUGAAGCACCAGGAAGAUGACAACAGAAGAGAGAGGACCCAGACAUUGGAAUCAGCAGCCACCAGGUGCAAUCUCCAACAUGUGCGGGCUUUGGGAAAACACAAUCGGGCAAGUGAAGUUUGUUGCAGACAAGUUCUUCUUCCCCUCUGCCACAACCUCCUCCAAGGUUACAGGGAGAGCACCCUGUCUGUGAAGAAGCAGGUUCUCAUCUGAUACCAAAUCUGCUGGCACCUUGAUCUUGGACUUCCCAGACUCCAGGACUGUGAGUAACACAUUUGUGUUGUUUACAAGCUGCUCAGAAGGUGGUAAAUUGUGAUAGCAGGCCAAAUGGACCACGACAGGGUAUAAGUUGUUUUAUCCCCAUUUUAUAGAAGAGGUAAACAGGCUCAGGAUGAGCACAGGCCAAAACCGCCUAAUGAAUAUUAGCAACCAGAUAUUUCCUGGCACACAGUCCACACCAAGUAAAUGUUUGAGCGGCUGUUGAGCUGAAUCAUUGUUUAAUUUUUGUCUUUCCACCACAGGAAGAUCACAGAUUGACAUCAGCAGGAAAACUUGCCAGGCAGCAGGAGGAUCCAUUUGAAAACUCACGAGAAAAAGGCCCUUGAGGCCUUUUUCCUGGUUAUUGAAGACAUCUUAGGAAACACUUAUGGUGACAAUUAAUCAAGCAAAAAUAGAUCCAGUUUUUCUGAAGAUCAAGCUUAACAUGUGUGCCAUGCUUUAAAAUGUCUUUCCAGGCACUCUCUCCUGCCCACGGAUCUUGCUUGGGAAAGGAAUGGGGCAAGUGGAAAUGGCCAUUUCUUAGAUGAACACAUCAGGGACUUGCUCCAGUCUGAAGUCUAUACAGAGCUAGGCUUUGAAUCCAGUCACGUAACUGCAUAGCAGCAAAUCAGCCUUUCAGAAUAUUGCAGGAUCAGCAAUGAAAUUCCCUUUGCCAGAGAAAUGGACAAACAAGGAAGCAACAAUGGUGAUGGUGGAAGUGUUCUUCAAGUCUAAGUUUGGGUUCUAGAAACAUCUGGCCAAAUAACGUCUUUCACAACUAAAAUAGAAUAUAAAGAAGCCAUUUGACCUGCCUCAGUUAUCAUGGUCAUCAUGACAAGCUGCAGCAGGACAAAUCAGCUUAACAAUUUCGGAAACUGCCAGAAAUGCUAUUUGGAUUAAUUUUUAUUUGGGAGUUGGCUAAAACUGGUCACAUCCCCAAAUACCUCAAGAUAAACAACAUAGCAUUAUCAUACAAAUCUAUAUUCACCAAAUUAGGUUAAAAUAGGCUGUUUUGAGAAGGUUGAAUUUUUUUAUGGGGAUUAUUCCCAAAAUACGUUUAGACACAAGAAGUUCAACUUUUCUUUUUUCCAUAUUUGAUGUCAAUCAAACUAAUUACUACAUGUUUGGAAUUGCAUUAAUUGUAUUCUUCAGUUACCUAUAAAAUUUAAUUAUCAUGUCUUUAUGGAAAUUUUAAUAUCAGAUAUAAAGAAUGGCAUAUUUAAAAUGACAUUUUAAUACUUUAUAAGAAGCAACAGAAAUUCGACUUCCAAAGCACCUCUCAGUACUACCAUUGGAGUACAUCUAUAUUUUUCUGUCAGAAUACUAUCCAAAGCAAGCAUAAGUAAUCCUUAUUUUCACGAUACAUUGAUGCUCAAAAGUUGUGUGUUCAGCAUGUCUACAAAGUAAAUUACCGUAUAUUUGAAACAGCAGACUAAAACUGAAGUAACAUCUGGAAAAAAUUGCCCUAAUUGCUAGCCCCUAAAUUCAUCUGACCUUGACACUCUCAUCUGAAUUUAAAAGUGUUUUAAAUUCUUAGCCAAUCAAUUCAAGCCAGAACUGAAUUCAUAUGUCUUCAGAAACUGCUAAUCUAGAACAAUGUAACUAGAAUAGAUUCCUGAUCAAACUUUGGUUUUGUUCAGGUAUCCACUCAUUUCCUAGGUGACCCAGAGGCCACAACUCACAACUCCACCCCUUCCCGUGGCUGGUCCAGGCUGUGCAGAUCUUGUAGUCACAAAGUCCUGGCAAUGGGCUGGGGGUGGGAUCUGACCUAGUGCUGACCAACAUGUCAAAAACAGAUGGCUGCAGAACCCUCUGGAAAAGCUUCCCUCAUUCUUAAGGAAUCCUGUGAAGAGAUGGUCUGUUUCUGUCCUGUUCCCUGGAUGUCAAAUGUCUGGGUUUGAGACCCAGAACUCCUGAAGCCAUCUCACAACUACAAGGGGAGCAGAUGUAGCCACUGAGGAUGGCCAAGCAGAGGGAGGGAGGACCUUUCCUGCCAGCAUCGCCAGCGGCUGAAUCACAGCCCAGAACCCCACAGCACCCUAAACGUCCUCUUAACAAAUGUAAUACGUUGUCUUACUGUUUGUGCCUGUGUGAAAAGUCCUCUUUGCUUGCAGUGAAGGCAUCCUAGUUGAUAAACAUGAAAUUUGAAAAUUGGAGAUUUCUUGGAACCAACA
rnacentral:lncRNA from 1 species